rnacentral:rRNA from 1 species
GUCGCACGAGUUCUCGUUGAAUCUCGGUGCUUGCACCGAGAUUCAACAUGGAACGAGUGGCGGACGGGUGAGUAACACGUGGGUAACCUGCCCUUAAGUGGGGGAUAACAUUUGGAAACAGAUGCUAAUACCGCAUAGAUCCAAGAACCGCAUGGUUCUUGGCUGAAAGAUGGCGUAAGCUAUCGCUUUUGGAUGGGCCCGCGGCGUAUUAGCUAGUUGGUGAGGUAAUGGCUCACCAAGGCGAUGAUACGUAGCCGAACUGAGAGGUUGAUCGGCCACAUUGGGACUGAGACACGGCCCAAACUCCUACGGGAGGCAGCAGUAGGGAAUCUUCCACAAUGGACGCAAGUCUGAUGGAGCAACGCCGCGUGAGUGAAGAAGGCUUUCGGGUCGUAAAACUCUGUUGUUGGAGAAGAAUGGUCGGCAGAGUAACUGUUGUCGGCGUGACGGUAUCCAACCAGAAAGCCACGGCUAACUACGUGCCAGCAGCCGCGGUAAUACGUAGGUGGCAAGCGUUAUCCGGAUUUAUUGGGCGUAAAGCGAGCGCAGGCGGUUUUUUAAGUCUGAUGUGAAAGCCCUCGGCUUAACCGAGGAAGCGCAUCGGAAACUGGGAAACUUGAGUGCAGAAGAGGACAGUGGAACUCCAUGUGUAGCGGUGAAAUGCGUAGAUAUAUGGAAGAACACCAGUGGCGAAGGCGGCUGUCUGGUCUGUAACUGACGCUGAGGCUCGAAAGCAUGGGUAGCGAACAGGAUUAGAUACCCUGGUAGUCCAUGCCGUAAACGAUGAAUGCUAGGUGUUGGAGGGUUUCCGCCCUUC